AUUGAACGCUGGCGGCAGGCUUAACACAUGCAAGUCGAGCGAGCGGCGGACGGGUGAGUAAUGUCUGGGAAACUGCCUGAUGGAGGGGGAUAACUACUGGAAACGGUAGCUAAUACCGCCUACCAUCAGCUGUGCCCAGAUGGGAUUGGCUAGUGGGUGGGGUAAUGGCUCACCUAGGCGACGAUCCCUAGCUGGUCUGAGAGGAUGACCAGCCACACUGGAACUGUGAAACGGUCCAGACUCCUACGGGAGGCAGCAGUGGGGAAUAUUGCACAAUGGGCGCAGGCCGGAUGCAUGCAUGCCGCGUGUGUGAAGAAGGCCUUCGGGUUGUAAAGCACUUUCAGCGAGGAGGCGUUACUCGCAGAAGAAGCACCGGCUAACUCCGUGCCAGCAGCAGCGGUAAUUC
rnacentral:rRNA from 1 species